CAAGACUGUUCCUCAUGCAGACUGGACGUAGGAACUCUGGGUGUCAAUGGAAGCUAGGCUGGGAUAUGCCACAUCCCUGCUCCUGCCCUGGAAGCCAACUCAUUUCCAAAUAAAGAAAAAGAUGGCUGAAUUGGUCCAGCGGUUUCACUUAACAGAUGAGAAAGCUGAGACCCAGAGGACAAGACAGAAGAGGACAAGAAAAGCUCACACAGCAACUGAUGCUUGCUUGCCUCAGGGCAUGGAGAGGGUGUUCCAUCAAGGCCUCCUUCUGCCCAGUGUAUCCUGAAGGAAAGAGGAGGGACUGCCUCGACCCCAGCAGGGAGAAUGGGGUUGCCUUGCACUGGAGGCCUGCGGUGCCCUUUCCAGCAUCUCUCCAGCUUAUCUGAAAAAUACUAUUUGGGUUUCGUUUGGGGACCUGGAAACUAUGUUGGAAAUAGAGGAACUUUAGAAAGCCAGCAAUUGUCUUUGUGCUAUGAGUGACUCAGUCCCCUGGUCUUUGAGCCAGAGGUUUUAAUAUGUACACAACAUUUGCUUCCUGAGAUGCUGGCAGGCCAUCAUGCACUGAUGUAUUGCGGGGAAAUCCAAGGAAUCUUAACUGUGAACCCGGCUUUCCUCAACAUGGCAGGGAAGUAUCAGAGUGGAGGGAAUAUAGAAAAUACCUAGUCUAGAGGUUUCCAAACUUUUUUUUUUUUUUAAAGCUAUGAAGACUUUCUUGAAAUGAAAUGAUGAAAUGGCCUUUAGGUUAUACUGUUUCUGUUGCAAACCACGCAUGGAAUGCAAACCUAUGACACCCUGGUCAUCGUUCAGGGAAAUUCCCUAGACCAGGGGUUGCUUGCAUUGGAUGUGGCUCCCAGACACACUUUAUUUGGAUGGCCCGGUGUUUGUUUUUACAUCCUUGCAGAUCACCAUGGUUCCUACUUCUUUUUUUUUUUUUUUUUUUUUUUUGAGACGGAGUCUCGCUCUGUUGCCCAGGCUGGAGUGCAGUGGCGCGAUCUCGGCUCACUGCAAGCUCCGC
rnacentral:lncRNA from 1 species